UACGGAGGGGGCAAGCGUUGUUCGGAAUUACUGGGCGUAAAGCGCACGUAGGCGGUUUUGUAAGUCUGGGGUCAAAGGCGACAGCUCAACUGUCGUAAGGCCUUAGAUACUAUAGAACUGGAGUGCCAGAGAGGAUGGCGGAAUUCCCGGUGUAGCGGUGAAAUGCGUAGAGAUCGGGAGGAAUACCAGUGGCGAAGGCGGCCUUCUGGACUGACACUGACACUGAGGUGCGAAAGCGUGGGUAGCAAACAGG
rnacentral:rRNA from 1 species